UACGUAGGGGUCAGCAGUCGUUCGUUCGAAUUGUGGCGUAAAGAGCUCGUAGGCGGUUUGUUGCGUCGGCUGUGAAAUCCCGAGGCUCAACCUCGGGUCUGCAGUCGAUACGAGCAAACUAGAGUGUUGCAGGGGAGACUGGAAUUCCUGGUGUAGCGGUGAAAUGCGCAGAUAUCAGGAGGAACACCGGUGGCGAAGGCGGGUCUCUGGGCAACAACUGACGCUGGAGGAGCGAAAGCGUGGGGAGCGAACAGG
rnacentral:rRNA from 1 species